UACGUAGGUGGCAAGCGUUGUCCGGAUUUAUUGGGCGUAAAGCGAGCGCAGGCGGUUCUUUAAGUCUGAUGUGAAAGCCCACGGCUCAACCGUGGAAGGUCAUUGGAAACUGGGGAACUUGAAUGCAGAAGAGGAGAGUGGAAUUCCAUGUGUAGCGGUGAAAUGCGUAGAUAUAUGGAGGAACACCAGUGGCGAAGGCGACUCUCUGGUCUGUUAUUGACGCUGAGGCUCGAAAGCGUGGGGAGCGAACAGGAUUAGA
rnacentral:rRNA from 1 species